AAAGUCAUGUAUGAAAUCCAAUGAAUGUUAUGUGAUUUGCCGAUGUGAAAAUUCAGACUGUUUUCGUAUUUUAUUUGUACCUUCGUUAUGGCGGAAUUUUGCUUUCAAUCUUUCAUUGUGACGAUUAGAACAUGUUUUAAUUUAAAGUGAAAUGUGUUGAAAUUAUGGAAUAGUAAGCUUAUAUGCGAAACAAGGGAAACAUCACUUCGAUUGGAAGCUGAAGAUGACGAAUAAACGACGGGAGACAGAAAUCAAUUUCCCAAUUCCCAGAAACCAAACCCAAUUCGAACGCAAUGGAUUGUAUAUAGUUUUUAGCACAACGCACAUAAUUUAUUAAAUAAACAGUUUUAAAUUAUAA
rnacentral:lncRNA from 1 species